GUGUAUGUGGCAUAGUGGUUUGAGUAUUGGACUAGAAUGCUGGAGACCAGGGUUCAAAUCCCAGCUUGGCCA